UACGUAGGGGGCAAGCGUUGUCCGGAAUUAUUGGGCGUAAAGCGCGCGCAGGCGGUUCUUUAAGUCUGGAGUUUAAACCCGAGGCUCAACUUCGGGUCGCACUGGAAACUGGGGGACUUGAGUGCAGAAGAGGAGAGUGGAAUUCCACGUGUAGCGGUGAAAUGCGUAGAUAUGUGGAGGAACACCGGUGGCGAAGGCGGCAUCCUGGACCGACACUGACGCUGAGGAGCGAAAGCCAGGGGAGCAAACGGG
rnacentral:rRNA from 1 species